UACGAAGGGUGCAAGCGUUAAUCGGAAUUACUGGGCGUAAAGGGCGCGUAGGCGGUUGUUUAAGUCUGUCGUGAAAUCCCCGGGCUCAACCUGGGAAUGGCGGUGGAUACUGGGCAGCUAGAGUGUGUCAGAGGAUGGUGGAAUUCCCGGUGUAGCGGUGAAAUGCGUAGAGAUCGGGAGGAACAUCAGUGGCGAAGGCGGCCAUCUGGGACAACACUGACGCUGAAGCACGAAAGCGUGGGGAGCAAACAGG
rnacentral:rRNA from 1 species